UCUUGGCCCUCUUACCUUUCCAGCUGUGGGUAACCACAGUCUUAGAUAAUGCUCCGGCUAGGGAGUGCUUUCGUUUCUGGAAAUUGCAGUAAAGCUGAGGAUGAGCAAAAAAGGUAAAAUAUUUGUAUACAAAGAGCAUCACUGAGAAUUUCUUGGAAGACUUAGGAGUUGUAAACUUUAGAUCAGUGAUUCUCAACUGAGGAUAAUUUUGUCCCUCAUUUGUCAUACUGGGGAUUGUCAUACUGGUGGGAUGCCACUGGCAUCUGGUGCAUAGAGCCCAUGCAUGCUGCUACUCACCCUACAAUGAAGAGGAAGGUCCCCCACAACAAAUCACUAUCCAUUCUCAAAUGUCAAUAGUGCCACUGUUGAGGAGCCUUGGAUUAGAACAAUAAAAGCUUUUUAAGGAUACACUUUUAUAAAGUACAGCUUUUGAAAAGUUUCUUAGACAAAGUAUUUUCUAUACAGUGUACUGAAGUGUGUGUAAACAUAUUGCAGAUAUAUGUUUACUAUGUAUGAUAAGAAAUGUGUAGUCAGGAUUUGUGUGAGCAUGUACACAAAAAGAUUGAAUUAAAAAUACAUUCUUUUGUGAACUACUUGGGAGAAUCUAUUUCUCCAGUGUAUAAGUCUUUACAUUCUUUUUAUUUACAGGAAAAUGUUUAUUUACAGGAUACAAUGCUUAAACAUAACGAUAUUCAUUUUUUGUGUACAUUUCUUACAGGACAGCACGCGUCUUAUUCUCCACUGUAUCCCUCAGAAAACCCAGACCAGUUCUUUAGACACAGUGGAAAUUAAAUAAAGUAUUGGAUAAAUGUAUGGGAAGAUGAAUAAAUUAUAACCUAUGAUUUUAAGUUUAUGAUAUAUUUCCAUUUAGUCAAUGUAUGCUUUAAGUGAGAUUCAUCAGAAAAAGUCUGCUGAACAACCUUAUCUAACAUC
rnacentral:lncRNA from 10 species